AGUUCGUGGAGUGAUCUGUCUGCUUAAUUGCGUUUCACUUAUUAAGGUCAUAAAACGCUGUAUUGUCUUGCUGUGUCCUCUGACUUCGGUCAGUGUUUGAUGCGCGGACGCUUGCAGUUAACGUGGCCUGAAGGCAACGAACGUGACCGCAGCCUCUUGUUGCCUCUUUCAAAGUGCUUUUAUUCUGCAUUUUUGUAGAGUAAUCUGCGCCAAUAGAGGCUAACUAGAGGGACCGCUUGGCAUUUUUUAAACAGAGGAAGGUUGCGGCAAUAACAGGU
rnacentral:rRNA from 1 species